rnacentral:rRNA from 1 species
AUUGAACGCUGGCGGCAUGCUUUACACAUGCAAGUCGAGCGGUAACAGGCCGCAAGGUGCUGACGAGUGGCGAACGGGUGAGUAAUGCAUCGGAACGUGCCCAGUCGUGGGGGAUAACUACUCGAAAGAGUAGCUAAUACCGCAUACGAUCUAUGGAUGAAAGCGGGGGACCGUAAGGCCUCGCGCGAUUGGAGCGGCCGAUGUCAGAUUAGGUAGUUGGUGGGGUAAAGGCUCACCAAGCCAACGAUCUGUAGCUGGUCUGGGAGGACGACCAGCCACACUGGGACUGAGACACGGCCCAGACUCCUACGGGAGGCAGCAGUGGGGAAUUUUGGACAAUGGGCGCAAGCCUGAUCCAGCAAUGCCGCGUGCAGGAAGAAGGCCUUCGGGUUGUAAACUGCUUUUGUACGGAACGAAACGGCUCUGGUUAAUACCCGGGGCUAAUGACGGUACCGUAAGAAUAAGCACCGGCUAACUACGUG